rnacentral:rRNA from 1 species
GACGAACGCUGGCGGCGUGCUUAACACAUGCAAGUCGAACGGAAAGGCCCUGCUUGCAGGGUGCUCGAGUGGCGAACGGGUGAGUAACACGUGGGUGAUCUGCCCCUUACUUUGGGAUAAGCCUGGGAAACUGGGUCUAAUACUGGAUAGGACCAUGCUGUAGGUGGUGUGGUGGAAAGAUUAGUUUCGGUAAGGGAUGAGCUCGCGGCCUAUCAGCUUGUUGGUGGGGUAUUGGCCUACCAAGGCGUCGACGGGUAGCCGGCCUGAGAGGGUGGACGGCCACAUUGGGACUGAGAUACGGCCCAGACUCCUACGGGAGGCAGCAGUGGGGAAUAUUGCACAAUGGGCGCAAGCCUGAUGCAGCGACGCCGCGUGGGGGAUGACGGCCUUCGGGUUGUAAACUCCUUUCAGCCAUGACGAAGCCCUUGUGGUGACGGUAGUGGUAGAAGAAGCACCGGCUAACUACGUG